UGCGUUGAGGCCCUGCUUCAAGGAUGUUGUCAAUCAUCGCUCAUUUGUGGGAAGUAGAGACUACUGAUGCUCCUGAGACUCUUUGUCUGCUUAUGUGAUUUAAGGAGAAGGAAGAAAGGAAGAAAAUGUAUCUAUUUAUUUGCAUGAAGAAGAAAACAAUGUUUUAUUUCUGCUGCCUUGUUCACCAGCUUUCUCUUAUACUGCAUAUGCAUUUUUUAUUUCUGUGCUUUUAGAUCUCUAUUAUUUAUACUUAUUAAAAAUCAUCUUGUGGCUUAGAGUCAUUUGUAAUAAAGACUCUGUAUCGCUGUCA